rnacentral:rRNA from 2 species
UAUCACUAAGCGGAGGAAAAGAAACUAACCAGGAUUCCCCUAGUAACGGCGAGUGAAGAGGGAAAAGCCCAGCACCGAAGCCUGCGGCAGAUUUGCUGUUAGGCAAUGUGGUGUUUGGGUCGGCUAGCGGGAUUGCCACUCCACUCGAAAUCCAGCAUUGAGUAUGGUCUUGGAUUGGCCCAGAGAGGGUGAGAGGCCCGUACGGGUGGAGUAACAGAAAUGUAAGGCAAUUCACCAGGCCGGCCCUAGAGUAGGGUUGUUUGAGAAUGCAGCCCAAAGUGGGUGGUAAACUCCAUCCAAGGCUAAAUACGAACACGAGUCCGAUAGUAAACAAGUACCGUGAGGGAAAGUUGAAAAGUACUCUGAAGAGAGAGUAAACAGUACGUGAAACUGCAUGCAGGUAAACGGGUGGCGUCAAGCUGCGAGCCCUGAGGGUUCAGCUAACUAGGGUGUUGUGUAUGCGCCUGCGCAUCUAUCAGUCAGUGUGAGAUUCGGUAGUCCACUGGAAUACAGUGGGCCUGGUCGCAAGACUGGGUAUGUGUACCGGGCGGCUGCCGGAGCAUGCUACUUAUCUGUUGGACUGCCUAGUUAGUGCACUCUCUCAGUGGCGAGCGCCACGAUCGGUGGAACUGCCAGUCUGCUGUAGUCAAGUCUUGCUCAGUUGAUCCUUGUGGUUAGCUGGGUGAGAUCACAGGCAAUUCAGUAAACGGCGCAGGGGUGUUUCGGCAUCUCUGCGUGAUAUCGGACACUGGUUGUCAACGGGUCGGCCUGGAGAACGUGUAACCGUCUCUCGGUGACCUGGUGGACUAUGGUGGUAUAUAUAACUGUGCAGGGCACCGGAAGUCUCGACCUCAAAUGCAGCCUACAUGCACGCGUUACAAGUGCGAACGGGGUAUUGCUGUGGCUCGCCUGCUUUCUCGUCUGAUUGUCGUGUCGCCUGCGCAAAGUAGGUCCGGCAGUGGCAUGGGGCAGGUUGAGUAGCGGUGGUGCCUCGUGUGUAGGUUGCGGUGGGUCUAAGAGUCCGUGGUGUUGUGGUAGAUUAGCCACCCGACCCGUCUUGAAACACGGACCAAGGAGUUUAACAUGUGUGCGAGUCAAAGGGUCCUCCGAAACCCCAUGGCGCAAUGAAAGUGAGGCUUCGAACUGUUCUCGAAGUGAGGUGAGAUCUUGCCGUUUCUCGCACAGCCAGCACAGGCUAAGAGCGGUGGGCGCAUCACCGGCCCGUCCCAUGGUGUGGUUAUCGGAUGUCUGCGGUCGUCGCUUGCGGCGGCUGUGGUGCUGAUGCGUCACCGGGGCGGAGCAUGAGCAUACAUGUUGAGACCCGAAAGAUGGUGAACUAUGCUUGCGUAGGUUGAAGCCAGAGGAAACUCUGGUGGAGGACCGCAGCGAUUCUGACGUGCAAAUCGAUCGUCUGACGUGAGUAUAGGGGCGAAAGACUAAUCGAACCAUCUAGUAGCUGGUUCCCUC